GGUCUAUUCGUCUAGGGGUUAGGACGCCAGGUUUUCAUCCUGGUAACAGGGGUUCGAUUCCCCUAUAGACUACAA
rnacentral:tRNA from 1 species